ensembl:lncRNA
CACGAGUCCAAACUUUGUGUCCAGCCUCCCACAUGAAAUGAUCCCCUUAAAGGGGGCUCAAUAUGUCUCAAUCUGCACUCCACUUCACUCAAAGCAUUUGGGUAUAUGGGACAGACCCCAGAAAUAUAUUAAUUAAAGCGAGAUGUUCGGCUCACAAAAGACUUACUAGAGGAAAUCGUGACGAAGAUGAAGGAAGACACUACAGUUGUAACAUUUCACCAGCUUUGAAAAACCUCCACCUCAUAGAGUGAGAGAUCUACGACUGAUCGUGUUCGGGUUGAGCCCCGGUGAAAGGAAGAGAGGAGAGGAGAGGAGAGGAGUGGUGCGGCGCGGCGCGGCGGAGGCCUGGCUGAGAGGCCCGGCGUCGGCUCCUCGGGUCAUCGCAGAGGCGUCUCCGAGCAGAUAUGCAAACGAUCUCCGUCUCCUCGUGGCGACCCUUGGCAGACCGCACCCAUCCCUACCAUAAGUGCUCUCCACCACCCCCCAUCACAGGCACGGACCACUUCUGCCCACCACCCCACCCAAAGCAACUAACAGAGGACAAUCAAUACUUCAUGCACAGCCAUGACCGGGGGAAUGUUGGCCGUCCCAGACUGGAAUGGCAGAGGAGGAAGGACAGUAUCACCACUCCGUCAUGCGACACAUCAAAUUAAUAUCCUUAAAAGAGGUCGGGAUCGAUUAGGUGUCAUCUUCCAACGGCACCGGUGAUUUGCACCCCUCAUGCACCGGGCAGAGAGAGAGAGAGAGCUUGUAAAAAUUCCUCCACAUUGGAGAGUUUGUCAGCAUCGGACAGAUGCACUUUAUCAACCACUUUUCAUUCUUCAGCAACAGAAGGGGCUCUUGGGAUUUAUUUAGUCAAAUGUGAGGUUAAAACCGAAGAGCCGCUGGCAAAUAACAUUCUCAUAAUGGCUGUAUUUUGCUUCACUGUGCGGGUUAUGUC